rnacentral:rRNA from 1 species
CCUACGGGGUGGCAGCAGUGGGGAAUAUUGGACAAUGGGCGAAAGCCUGAUCCAGCCAUGCCGCGUGUGUGAAGAAGGCCUUCGGGUUGUAAAGCACUUUCAGUGGGGAAGAAAGCCUUGGGGCUAAUACCCUCGAGGAAGGACAUCACCCACAGAAGAAGCACCGGCUAACUCCGUGCCAGCAGCCGCGGUAAUACGGAGGGUGCGAGCGUUAAUCGGAAUUACUGGGCGUAAAGCGCGCGUAGGCGGUCUGAUAAGCCGGUUGUGAAAGCCCCGGGCUCAACCUGGGAACGGCAUCCGGAACUGUCAGGCUAGAGUGCAGGAGAGGAAGGUAGAAUUCCCGGUGUAGCGGUGAAAUGCGUAGAGAUCGGGAGGAAUACCAGUGGCGAAGGCGGCCUUCUGGACUGACACUGACGCUGAGGUGCGAAAGCGUGGGUAGCAAACAGGAUUAGAUACCCUUGUAGUC